UACGAAGGGGGCUAGCGUUGUUCGGAAUUACUGGGCGUAAAGCGCACGUAGGCGGACUAUUAAGUCUGGGGUGAAAUCCCGGGGCUCAACCCCGGAACUGCCUUUGAUACUGGUAGUCUCGAGUCCGGAAGAGGUGAGUGGAAUUCCGAGUGUAGAGGUGAAAUUCGUAGAUAUUCGGAGGAACACCAGUGGCGAAGGCGGCUCACUGGUCCGGUACUGACGCUGAGGUGCGAAAGCGUGGGGAGCAAACAGG
rnacentral:rRNA from 1 species